AACGAACGCUGGCGGCAGGCUUAACACAUGCAAGUCGAACGCAUCCUUCGGGUGAGUGGCAGACGGGUGAGUAACGCGUGGGAACGUGCCCUUCAGUUCGGGAUAACCCAGGGAAACUUGGGCUAAUACCGGAUACGUGCGAGAGCAGAAAGAUUUAUCGCUGAAGGAUCGGCCCGCGUCUGAUUAGCUAGUUGGUGGGGUAAUGGCCCACCAAGGCGACGAUCAGUAGCUGGUCUGAGAGGAUGAUCAGCCACAUUGGGACUGAGACACGGCCCAAACUGCUACGGGAGGCAGCAGUGGGGAAUAUAGGACAGUGGGCGCAAGGCUGAUCCAGCCAUGCCGGGUGAGUGAUGAAGGCCUUAGGGUUGUAAAGCUAUUUCGUCCGGGACGAUAAUGACGGUACCGGAAGAAGAAGCCCCGGCUAACUUCGUGCCAGCCGCCGCCGUAC
rnacentral:rRNA from 1 species